GCCUGGUGAGCACAUAGGGUUUUCAACCCACAAUAAAUAAGUUUAUUAAUUUCAUCGAUCAACAAUAACCCGAUUACCCGUUCCCGUUAUCCUCACUUUACGUCCCUAAACACCUAUCAUAAGGGACCUAGCCUAAGGAUCAUCAUCGGGACGGACACUACUGCUAAGGGGAUUCCUCAGCAAUAAAUGUCCUAAAGGCAACCAUGUGGGGGAUGGAGUACACCGGUGAACACNAGAUUACACCAAUAUAUAACAGAAACAUAGAGCAAAACCCCACAUGUAUCUCGUUUUGAAGAACAAAAGAUAUUAUCCAUGAACUAAUCUCUAAGUGUGGGUGGGUCAAAUACUUAAAUCUCCAUUAAGUACUCAUGAGUGUCACAAUCACUAUGUUAUGCCCAAUCACCAUGGUCAAUCCGCCAAUACUAAUGACAGUCUUGAAUCACUACUUACUUCCAAGAGUAUGAUAGACUGUGGAAGUUUGAGCAAAUUAAUACUCAGGAAAUGGGUUCUAAACAUGCAAAAGUGAAAUUGUUGGGUCACCCAAUUGUAUAGAUUUGAUGAUGCAAAAUAUAUACACUAUAGUUAUAAUUAGAAGAUAUGCUGAUGGAAAUUCACAUGUCGAAGAUCGAAGAGCAUCCCCUGACGACUGAAAGACCCUGAGGACUCUAUCAGCACGAAAGACAUGAAGAAACCAUCUACUGAACACUGAUCAGUGUGUCCAAACACUGAUGGUUAUACACAAACGACACACUGAUUAGAUAAUACGCUGAUGAUACUCACUGAUGAUCAUUCACUAUUUGUUGAAUCUGAAGCUGAUCAGCUUGACUAACACACUUACAACUAAUUUUAUCGAAAACCGGAAGUUAAUUGGAGCAGCGUUUCGAAACCGAAAGACUCCUUUUUCUCGGGACUCCGGGAGCCUCGGGGCUUCCCUAGGGUGCUAGGGGUUUUUUUUCUAGUUUUUAGGGGGGGGGGGUUUGGGGUUGUAGAGAGAGAAAGAAACUAGAGAGAGAAGUGAAUAAAUGUGCAAGAAAGUUGGCAGCCUUCGCUGGCUUUUAUAGGCCGAAGUUCGGACAUUACGUUGGGCGUACCGAGGGUACGCUGGGCGUACUCCUCAGAUAAGACUUCCAGCUGGCUCGCAAGUGAACCGACCUCGGAGUGGAUAAGAGCGAAGGUACGCGGGGCGUACAGACUUCGGACGCGGGGCGCAAGCGAGGCGACGUGUCAUCAUCCGAAGCGAGGACCGUGUUCAGCAAACGACGGUUAGGAUUAAGCCACGCCAUCAAUCUCGCACCAGGUUUCACAUUUUCAAGUCCGAACUUCAAAAAUUCGUAACAGGGCGGAUUAAGAAGACGUUCUUUAUAUCGACGCAAAGGUGGGAACGUACUCUACAACUUUAGUUUAGACUCUGUUGGCUAAUUUUGGCUCGAUUUUAAGUUUUAUAUUAUUAACAGGGCGACACAGGAUUGGUCCGUUAAAUCCUCAUAACUUCUUCAUCCGACAUCCGUUUUCACCCAUCUUUUUCUCGUGACGCUACUUUUAACGAGAUCUUCAAUUCUCGUUUAGGUCAUGUCGGCUAAAAACCGCUCGAUCUAAUAUUCGAAUUUGGGGUGUACACUGCUAACUCGAAACUUCGAAAAAUCAUAACUUCUUCAUACGAAGUCAGAAUUGGGCGUUCUUCUUAUUGAUGUUCUUAGUUUGACAUAUUCUAUGACUUUCGUUUAGAUCGCUAAGGCUAAAUCUCGCUCUAUCGCAAAUUCACUAUAGUUUCCCUCCUCAGUUUGCCUUUCGUUCAACUCGGGCUGUUCGAUCUGAAUAGUCUCUUCCUCUCGAUUUUGCUGGAGCAAACAUCUGGUUUCCUCCAUUUGACGAUCCAACAUAGCCUGGAUCAUCGCUUGCACUCCGGCCAUCGUGACUGGUUCAGGUGCAACUUCUUCUACAACAGGUAUUUGCUGAACCACUGGGGGUUGGUUCCUAUCUCCAUUUGCGUUUACGUUUCCGCUACGGGUCCUUGCCAUCUUGAUCUAUACACCGAAUAAGGUGAAUUUAGAUAUUUAUUUUGGAUAUACGUUUAAAUCGUCCUUAUCACUCCGAAGCAUUUACAUGCUAGUUCUAAUGUCGUAGUCGUAAGUUUAGAUUCCUAAACACAUAAGGUUUCCAGAUCCGGUCGGCAACAGACCAUAGAUCCGAACAAAAUAACAUCAUAUCAUGCACAAAUCAUUUAGCACAUAAAAGCAUUUUAGGCAGACUUCCUAAAAUAAGCUAGUGCUCACACCUCACAAUCAUCGCUUAGCAUUCUAAGUUUAAGUCUAGAAAUCCUACAAAUUCCUAGUUCGCUUAAACUAAUGCUCUGAUACCAACUGUGACAUCCCCAAAAUCACGGCCAGAAAAGACCGGUUUGUUUAUGCUUUGUUUAAAAAUCAGAGUAACAUUUUAAUUAAAAGUGUUGCGGAAUUUGUCCCAAAACAAAAUAUGAUAAAGAUUUAUCAAAAGCAUUUCCAUAGAAAUGUAUUUCAUUAAAAGACUUGGGAUGUCAUGUUCGUACAGAUCAAAAACAUAAACAGUACAAUAUAAGCCUUACUACAUUAUUUCAUAUCUACAGGCCUAUAUCCGUAAUCCCUCGUCCAAACAUCAUAUCUAUGCUCAAGCGCCACUACCUGUAAUACAUAAAACUGAUUGGGUCAGGCUUGGGAGCUUGGUGAGCACAUAGGGUUUUCAACCCAUAAUAAAUAAGUUUAUUAAUUUCAUCUAUCAACAAUAACCCGAUUACCCGUUCCCGUUAUCCUCACUUUACGUCCCUAAACACCUAUCAUAAGGGACCUAGCCUAAGGAUCAUCAUCAGGACGGACACUACUGCUAAGGGGAUUCCUCAGCAAUAAAUGUCCUAAAGGCAACCAUGUGGGGGAUGGAGUACACCGGUGAACACAUCGUUCACAAACACCUACAGGUUGCGAGCCUGCUAGUGUUCCACUGGACUGUCUAGAAGAGUCCGUGGUCGUCAUCCAUACUCCGCUAGAUGACAGAAUCAACAACAUCAACAUCGAGGCCUCUCAUCAUUUUAUCACACAUCACCUAUUACAUCUACCCAUGUUUUACCCCAACAUUUUCGUAGAUAUAAAAUACAUAUACAGUUUAAAUCAUUGAAAACAUGUAUAACAAUGUUCAUCCAACAUAGAUAGCAAGUAUUCAGAUAAUAUGCACACAUAGCACGUAAUUUAUAUAAAAUACUUCAUAUCUAUGUGUAAGCUGAAAGUAACUAUGCACUCACCUGAAAGGUGGUGACUCAGCACUCGGACAACGCUUCGAUACUCUCAAAACGAUUUUCCUUCGAUAAAACCUAGUACCAAUACCACUAGGGUUUAGUCUAACGAUAACCGCGACAAAUUAAUUAGUCUGACUAUUAUUAAGCGUUAAUAACACUCAAUAUAACUCAUAAUAAUAGCCCAAAUAAUUAUUUUAAGGACCUAAUAACAUUCCUAUAAUUAUUUGAAAGCUAUAUUAAAAAUUGCGUAAGCGUAGCACACUUACAACGAAUUUUAUCGAAAACCGGAACUUAAUUGGAGCAGCGUUUCGAAACCGAAAGACUCCUUUUUCUCGGGACUCCGGGAGCCUCGGGGCUUCCCUAGGGUGCUAGGGGUUUUUUCUAGGGUUUAAGGGGGGGGGGUUGGGGUUGUAGAGAGAGAAAGAAACUAGAGAGAGAAGUGAAUAAAUGUGCAAGAAAGUCGGCAGCCUUCGCUGGCUUUUAUAGGCCGAAGUUCGGACAUUACGCUGGGCGUACUCCUCGGAUAAGACUUCCAGCUAGCUCGCACGUGGACCGACCUCGGAGUGGAUACGAGCGAAGGUACAUGAAGCGUACAGACUUCGGACGCGGGGCGCAAGCGAGGCGACGUGUCAUCAUCCGAAGCGAGGACCGUGUUCAGCAAACGACGGUCAGGAUUAAGCCACGUCAUCAAUCUCGCACCAGGUUUCGCAUUUUCGAGUCCCGACUUCAAAAAUUCGUAACUUUUGCGUACGACCUCCGUUUUUGACGUUCUUUAUAUCCACGCGAAGGUAGGAAUGUACUCUACAACUUUCGUUUGGACUCUGUUGGCUAAUUUUGGUUUGAUUUUAAAUUUUAUAUUAUUAACAGGGCGGGACAGGAUUGGUCCGUUAAAUCCUAAUAACUUAUUCAUCCGACAUCCGUUUUCGCCCAUCGUUUUCACGUUACGCUACUUUUAACGAAAUCUUCGAUUGUCGUUUAGUUCAUGUCGGCUAAAAACCGCUCGAUCUAAUAUUCAAAUUUCGGGCUGUACAUAGCUAACUUGAAACUUCGAAAAAUCAUAACUUCUUCAUACGAAGUCAGAAUUGGGCGUUCUUCUUAUCGAUGUUCUUAGUUUCACAUAUUCUACGACUUUCGUUUAGAUUGCUAAGGCUAAAUCUCGCUCUAUCGCAAAUUCACUAUAGUUUCCCUCCUCAGUUUGCCCUUCGUUCAACUCGGGCUGUUCGAUCUGAAUAGUCUCUUCCUCUCGAUUUUGCUGGAGCAAACGUCUGGUUUCCUCCAUUUGACGAUCCAACAUACCCUGGAUCAUCGCUUGCACUCCGGCCAUCGUGACUGGUUCAGGUGCAACUUUUUAUACAACAGGUAUUUGCUGAACCACUGGGGGUUGGUUCCUAUCUCCAUUUGCGUUUACGUUUCCGCUACGGGUCCUUGCCAUCUUGAUCUAUACACCGAAUAAGGUGAAUUUAGAUCUUUAUUUAGGAUAGACGUUUAAAUCAUCCUUAUCACUCCGAAACGUUUACAUGCUAGUUCUAAUAUCGUAGUCGUACGUUUAGAAUCCUAAACACAUAAGGUUUCCAGAUCCGGUCGGCAACAGACCAUAGAUCCGAACAAUUAACAGCAUAUUAUGCACAAAGCAUUUAGCACAUAAAAGCAUUUUAGGCACAAUUCCUAAAAUAAGCUAGUGCUCACACCUCACAAUCAUCGCUUAGCAUUCUAAGUUUAAGUCUAGAAAUCCUACAAAUUCCUAGUUCGCUUAAACUAAUGCUCUGAUACCAACUGUGACAUCCCCAAAAUCACGGCCAGAAAAGACCGGUUUGUUUAUGCUUUGUUUAAAAAUCAGAGUUACAUUUUAAAUGAAAGUGUUGCGGAAUUUGUCCCAAAACAAAAUAUGAUAAAGAUUUAUCAAAAGCAUUUCCAUAGAAAUGUAUUUCAUUAAAAGACUUGGGAUGUCAUGUUCGUACAGAUCAAAAGCAUAAACAGUACAAUAUAAGCCUUACUACAUUAUUUUUAUAUCUACAGGCCUAUAUCCAUAAUCCCGCGUCCAAACAUCAUAUCUAUGCUCAAGCGCCACUACCUGUAAUACAUAAAACUGAGUGGGUCAGGCUUGGGAGCCUGGUGAGCACAUAGGGUUUUCAACCCACAAUAAAUAAGUUUAUUAAUUUCAUCAAUCAACAAUAACCCGAUUACCCGUUCCCGUUAUCCUCACUUUACGUCCCUAAACACCUAUCAUAAGGGACCUAGCCUAAGGAUCAUCAUCGGGACGGACACUACUGCUAAGGGGAUUCCUCAGCAAUAAAUGUCCUAAAGGCAACCAUGUGGGGGAUGGAGUACACCGGUGAACACAUCGUUCACAAACACCUACAGGUUGCGAGCCUGCUAGUGUUCCACUGGACUGUCUAGAAGAGUCCGUGGUCGUCAUCCAUACUCCGCUAGAUGACAGAAUCAACAACAUCAACAUCGAGGCCUCUCAUCAUUUUAUCACACAUCACCUAUUAGAUCUACCCAUGUUUUACCCCAACAUUUUCGUAGAUAUAAAAUACAUAUACAGUUAAAUCAUUGAAAACGUAUAUAACAAUGUUCGUCCAUCAUAGAUAGCAAGUAUUCAGAUAAUAUGCACAUAUAGCACGUAAUUUAUAUAAAAUACUUCAUAUCUAUGUGUAAGCUGAAAGUAAAUAUGCAAUCACCUGAAAUGUGGUGACUCAGCACUUGGACAACGCUUCGAUACUAUCAAAACAAUUUUCCUUCGAUAAAACCUAGUAUUGAUACCACUAGGGUUUAGUCUAACGAUAACCACGACAAAUUAAUAGUCUGACUAUUAUUAUUA
rnacentral:lncRNA from 1 species